GCCAGGUGCGGUGGCGCACGUCUGUAAUCCCAGCGCCUCGGAAGGCUGAGACAGGAGGACUGUGAAUUCAAAGCAGGUCUCAGCAACAAGGAGGCGCUAAGCAGCUCAGUGAGACCCUGUCUCUA
rnacentral:sRNA from 1 species